ensembl:lncRNA
CUGGAGGAAUCAAGACCAUCCGUGGCUGAUAAGCCAGGAACCGCCGACUUGGCUAAGCCACAGAAUCCCAAUGGAUUCCAAUGGAGUCAACAAAUGGAGCUGUCGCUGUAACCUGACACGUAAAGGGGGCGAGAUGCACGACAUGGAGCAGCACCCAGAUCGAUCUAUCUCAUCAUUCACAUGCAGGAAAUCAAUCAGAGAGUGGUGCAAUUCACAUGAAAAUAAGACAUAAUGCAGCAGAGGCCCUGGGUCCCAGGGUGAGACAUGAUACUAAGAUGCAAGGCCCAGCAGAAGACAACUCAAGCUUGGUGGUUCUCCAGUGAAAAAUAUGGAUACGAAGAUGAUCUCACAUCACUUGUGAUUUCUGGCAGAUUUGAUCAAUGCUUGGAGAGUUUGGGCUACUGAUUUAGCUUUUACCUUGGGAAAGUGAAAGAAGGUGCAGGUCUAAAUCACUGCACAAUUGCAUCUGCUGGAUUUCCUGCAAUGGCUCUGAGCUCCUUUGGAGGAAAGUCAGUUUACGUCUUCUCCAUCGCUUCUUCCAUCUGUCCUUAUCUGCCCUUAUAUCGUGAGGGAGACUGAAGGUUGCUCUCAGGACCCAUCAACUCCAUGAAGCUGAGUCAUGUAUCGUACGCAGUGGUAAGUUGCUUGAUGGGCCUUCGUUACAGAGCCAGUCUGAGUCCCAAGGUGAGAUCUGAGCACUAAUUUGACACUUCUCUUAAAGCAACGCUGUGUACUUCACCCUUGUCAAUACUAGAUGUGUCUUGUAUUAUGAAUGGCAAUAAUAUAAAUGAUUGAUUAAGGUUAUUCCAAGAAUUUAAUAUAGGCAUCACAUGUGAACUCUUAUGGUAUGGCAUCAGCAAGAAAAGCAGUUUCAAAAGUGGACUCAGAUCUCAUGUCCCAAAAUGCAUGAUUUACGAAACGUACUUUGUUGGUUUGUUUUGGUGUUCUAGAGGCUGAGAAUCUUGAAGAAAAUGUCUGACUACUUGAAAUCAUUCCUUGUUCACUUCGUUAUCCAUAGUGUUGUUGCAAGUUGGAUCUGACGUGCUCCUUGAGCAGCUGUAGUCCCUGGUGGCGUGUUGCAGUAAUUUCUUUAUGUGUUCAGGAGGUGUUCCAGUGAAACUGAACCUCUGCAUCAUGCUCAAGAGGUAAAGCACAGGGACCUGGCUGUGCUAGGGGACAGUAUUGAGAGGCUGGCUCACAGGCCAGUGAGUGGGUGGGGAGCUGAGUGACCGCUAUUCAGGUUUCAUGAACUAAAGCUUGCUUGUGAGUGAGAGCUGUGUGAUCACUGAAUUAAAUCCCUUGGUGUCUGGAGUCUCCUGGCAAGAGCUCAGUAGGUCCUGGGCUGUGCAGCCUGGCUUGAGAGGGAGGAGGAAUGUUGGGGGGUUAUGAUGAGACUUGUAAGCAUCGCAGCCCUAUCCAUGGACAAUCUCACUUCACUUUGUGUAUUGUCGUUGUCCUUUCCAACAGCUGCAUCUUUCAAAACUGGAAGAUCAGUAUUUUUCUCUUCAUUUUGAGUUUUGAUAUUAUUUUUUUUCAUUUAAGGAGAAAUAAAAUCAAAAUAAGUGAUUAUCUGGCAUUAGUAUGCUUCCACUAACUGCUGCUGUCCACGUUUCUAAGAACUGUAAUGCAAAUCCCCUGCUAGCAAGAAGAAUUCGUUGUUCCCCACUGUUUGUUCUUUGAUCCGUAUUAGGGCUGAUGUGUGAAACAAAGGAAGGAGGAAUGUUUGAUUUCUCUUAAACUUGGGCGACCCUACAAAAGAGACAGUAGAAACAAGGUCUUUGCUAAUAAACUGAGCAGAAGUGAUGUAAAUACUUCUGAACAUCAGAUUCUAGAUAGUGAUCAAGCAAACUGAACACAGUGGCUGUUUGUUCUUUGAUGUUUGAGGUGGGAAAAGCCAACGUUUGACAUCACGUUGAAAAAAUACUGCCCUGUUUCUUGUCCCUGAUAGCAGGUGGUGCAGGAACUCGACCUUCAAACCGUUUUGUCACCUUCUGUUCUUCCCAUAAACCAGUUUUUUGUGGCGUUCUGCCUUGAUGUGAUUAAACUACAGCUUCAUUCACUUAUUUUGUUUCCCGUGAAACAGAGCAGCACAAGGAUGGCAGAAAACAGCUGUGUGAGGCUGUAGCGUAGAACUGAUCGUAUCACAGGAUGUCUCAUCUUCCUGAACACGGGUGAAGAUCUGAAUCUCAAGUGUCAUUCAGCACCCACCCUCACCCCGCUUCCAGAAACUUAUAGCAGGUCUAUUUUCUCUAGUACUUCCGUCUCCCAGCAUAUGGCACACAUUUCUUGCUCAGCUCUCCUCCAUCCCCAGCAUUUCUGGCUGCUGUGAGGAUGCCGGGUCUCAGCAGAGUGCGUUGGCUUUGCAGCAGCUGCAAUCCAGUUUUCUGCUCUUGCUCUCUGCUGUACUGAGGGAGAGUGGCAAAGGUGAUGGUCUGGGGACUGCUACUUAGACACCAAGCAGAGGCCAAUAACAAAGAUGCAUUUAUAGUUAUUUUUAUGCAGUGCUGUGGCCGAUACAAAUUUCUGAAGUCUGUACAGUGCUUUUCACCCAGGGUAAUUGAUGUACAGGCUCUGUCAGACCUUUCAAAUCAGCAGUGCCUCGGGCUUGGUGGUGCUGUCUCUUCCCUUUACCCCUAGCUUUUCUCAGUCUCAUGCAGUUCAAUACUUGCAUCUCCCUCAUUUCUGCUGUGCCGUUUGGCUCCAGUUGUGCUAAAGCCCAGAGGCCAAUCCAUUAUGAAAAUCAGCUAGUAGCAGCAGCAGGCACCAUUAGCUAAAGAGCAGCUUUCUGCCACAGGGAAACAUCCCUAUGUCACACAGUCCUGGAAGGGAGUGGUCAUGCAGCUUCCUCUGAGCCUCUGUUGGCCAUCAGGGAAGGAGAUGAUACAAGAUGUGUGCCCUCUUCAUUGCACCUGUCCUGUUGUUUAGGAGAGAGAUCGCUCCCUCUGCAGAUGCCUCUUAAAAAGGACCUCUUCUCAAAAGGCUUUGAAGAUCUCUAAGCUCCUAACAGGCUGCAUUCUUUUAGUAAAAUGAAAGCAGAAUUCCCUAUUGCCUCCCACCCAGAGGAGAUGAAGGGGAGAUGCCCAUGAAGAUGAACUCUGCCUCCUCUUUGGGAGCAUGGUGAAGGACUGCACAGAGCUGGCACUGCUGGGGCACCCCCUGCACUGGACACAGUUGUGAAUUGAGGAUGAAUAUCACUGAUAAAAUGGAGGUCAACAACUGAACGGCAUCUCGUGGAAAAGAUUCGGAGGCUGCAGGAUCUGCGUGAUGCUGCAUCCAUCUGGGACUGAAAUGGCUCCUGCAAAAAAAAGAAGGAACCUUUGAAACAUCUGCUGACAAACUUUGAUGAGAAGACAGCAAUGUGCUUGAAGCAGAAAUUCAAAGAAUUGAAGUGUGGCUGUUUCCAAGAGGCAAGAAGACUGCAGAACUCAUAGCACUAGACGGAGCCCAAAGCAAGACCUGUGGAUAUGAAGAAAUGGGCUCUGAAAGCGCCUGUCCCACACGUCCCUGCUGUUUGAGACACGGUGAAGCCUGUGCUGGUGGCAGUCACAAGAAGAGCUGUCUGUGCUCAGGUGGCUUCCAGGGCUGUCUGUGCUCAGGGAAAGCUGCCCGCCUGCACAGCGGUACCCACCUCUGAAUAGUUUGCUAUUCUGGGCCCUGUGCAAUUUGGAGACUGACAACUUACCUUAACUGUUGGAGCACCAACCACUUCACAGAGCUCUCCCAGGCACUGCAGUCCCUGCUUCCUGCAUGGAAAGCAUCACCGAUACCAAGCAAGUGGAGAGGGCGGCCUUUCAUAGGAUCAUAGCCUUCAGGACUCUGGGGUGCCACAACUCCUGUUUGAAACAUAUAAUUGCUGUGGCAUUCAGUGCAACUGACGACAGGGAAGCUCGAACCUGGCAACUGCUACCUUAAAAAGUAAUAGAAGAAGGAAGCAAAAACCCCUGGGGAAGCUGUGCAUACAUAGCAAAGGAGGAGCAAUGGGCUUGCAUUGGUAAACUGCUCCAUAGGGCACCCAUUCAGUGCUAUAAAGAAGGCAUCCAGGCUGUGUGUUUCCCAGCUCCUGCAGCGGUAGGAUGGACCAUGAGUGUGCAUAGGAAGGUGCGUGAAGGCAGGCUAUGCUUUCCUGGGCCAGUUCUCUCCCUCUGAGGCUGCUCCGUGCAGAGCCAGCAGUGUGUGCAGCACUGACCAACGUGGUAUUUGAGAGCUUGAGAUCUCACCGUCUACCUUCUCUUUCCAAUUGCCCUCCCACUGUUGUUCUACAGCAUGCGGUGCCUUCAGCCGUGGUUCAGCUGCCAAAGAAGGUGGGGGAGUGCUGUGCUCCCCAGCUCCAUGCGGACCGGGAGAGAGGCAGAGAAACAGAGGAGGUGGGUGCUUUUCUGCAGGUAAUGAAAGCGAUCAGCUGGCUGCCCAUGCAGCACAGCCCUCCUGCCCUCCCCAGUCCUGCUCCCUGCCUUGCCAGGAGCGCACUUGGGUAGAAAGGUCUGAAAAAUCAGGACAGCUUCUAUUCUAUGGGAACAAAAGGUUUCCUUUGUUGUAAUUCCUCUGUUGGGCUCUGCACGAGGCCCUCGCAUGGGGCCCUGCAGCACGUGCCCUGCAUCAUGGGGACAAAAGCAGAUUACUGCAGGGAUGCCUGAAAAGGAGCCAUGACUUGUUCCCUUGUUGCUACAAUCUUGUUUACAGGCUGAGCUUCGCAGGGAGCAAUUCACACAGGUUUCUUUUGCAUUAUAAUAGUAAAGAUUUUUCUUGGUGGGAGAAAAAAAAGAGGAGAGAGGGUGAGGUGAGGAUUUAUCACAGAGCCUUGCCUGAAAUGAUUUAGGCUGUUAAGACCAUUUAUGCUGAAGGAAGUGAUCAGUUUCUGCUUCCCAAACGUCGUCUCCCAGUGCCGUGGGCCUGAUUCAGCAGGGCAGCUCCAUGUGAAGAGAAACGAAGUUGAUGAAGUAUUAGGAGGAGAUGACGGCAGCUAAAGGGGAGUUCAGUGGUUGUCCUUCACUUUUGUCUUCUGUCUUUUCAAGCUUAAGGCAGCAACUUCCAAAAUUCUUCGUGAGCCAAUCAGAGCACUGAUGGAGGGAACACCUUCAGCCACUGCACCUUAACAGCCACCUCGAGUGGCCCUGUGCUGGGUUUUUAAUCAUAUGAUGGCUUUUAAUUGAUGCUUUCUGUAAUAAACGAGGGGCUGCUGUGUUUUCACUGGGUUAUUCACUUGCUUCUGUAGUAGCUUUCAGUUGCAUGAUGCACAAACGGAGUGCAGCCUUCAGAAGUGACCCGUGGGACUUGAGGGCUGAUCCACUGCUACUGAAACGGUAGGACCAAAUUCUGCUGCCUGCUGGAUGCUGGGCCUCAAAGCAGGGAUGCAGAGAGGUGUAGAAAGCAGCAGUGCUCCCUGCUGAGCUCCGUGCAUGGGGCUGCUGCUCAUGGCUGGUGGGACAAAGCACUGCAGUGCAGACUGUGCUGCUGAACGCCAACAUAGGCUGAGCACUGGGGGGGCUGCAGCUCCUUUGAGGGCAGGUAGAGGACUUCCAUUUUAUUUUACUUUCCUUUCCCCUUUCCCCUCCUUUCCUUUUUCCUUUCCGUUUUCCUUUCCCCUCCUUUCCUUUUUCCUUACCGUUUUCCUUUCCCCUCCUUUCCUUUUUCCUUUCCCCUCCUUUCCUUUCCCCUUUCCCCUCCUGUCCUUUUUCCUUUCCCCUUUCCCCUCCU